GUCCGACGGUACAGGGUGAUAGUCCCGUACACCAAAAUGCACAGGCUGUGAACUCGAAGAGUAGGGCGGGACACGUGGUAUCCUGUCUGAAUAUGGGGGGACCAUCCUCCAAGGCUAAAUACUCCUGACUGACCGAUAGUGAACCAGUACCGUGAGGGAAAGGCGAAAAGAACCCCGGCGAGGGGAGUGAAAAAGAACCUGAAACCGUGUACGUACAAGCAGUGGGAGCACCUUCGGGUGUGACUGCGUACCUUUUGUAUAAUGGGUCAGCGACUUAUAUUCUGUAGCAAGGUUAACCGUAUAGGGGAGCCGCAGGGAAACCGAGUCUUAACUGGGCGUUAAGUUGCAGGGUAUAGACCCGAAACCCGGUGAUCUAGCCAUGGGCAGGUUGAAGGUUGGGUAACACUAACUGGAGGACCGAACCGACUAAUGUUGAAAAAUUAGCGGAUGACUUGUGGCUGGGGGUGAAAGGCCAAUCAAACCGGGAGAUAGCUGGUUCUCCCCGAAAGCU
rnacentral:rRNA from 1 species